ncrna:unclassified sequences raiA RNA
AAGGUUCGGGUCUGUGGUUGCAAGUCGAUGCCAGUCGCAGGCAAAACGAUCCACAUAAGCGGGGCAAGGCCCCCGUGAGCAUGGUGCGGCUUAGAUGUAAGCCCGGCCGGGGCGCAGGCCCCGAGAGAAGCAGUAGUGGGGGGCGCGCAUGCCUAGUAGCGAACCUUCCAGCCGGCGGGUGUGGGGGCAAAGACCAGGUCAGCCGAAAUCU